rnacentral:rRNA from 1 species
AUUGAACGCUGGCGGCAUGCUUUACACAUGCAAGUCGAACGGCAGCACGGGUGCUUGCACCUGGUGGCGAGUGGCGGACGGGUGAGUAAUACAUCGGAACGUGUCCUGAAGUGGGGGAUAACGCAUCGAAAGAUGUGCUAAUACCGCAUAUACUCUGAGGAGUAAAGUAGGGGAUCGAAAGACCUUAUGCUUUUGGAGCGGCCGAUGUCUGAUUAGCUAGUUGGUGGGGUAAUUGCCCACCAAGGCGACGAUCAGUAGUUGGUCUGAGAGGACGACCAGCCACACUGGGACUGAGACACGGCCCAGACUCCUACGGGAGGCAGCAGUGGGGAAUUUUGGACAAUGGGCGCAAGCCUGAUCCAGCAAUGCCGCGUGAGUGAAGAAGGCCUGCGGGUUGUAAAGCACUUUUGUUCGGGAAGAAAUCAUGUCGGUUAAUACCCGAUGUGGAUGACGGUACCGAAAGAAUAAGCACCGGCUAACUUCGUG